ACUAGCCUUGACAAGAAUGGAAGGGGCCCUUGUGGCUUCUUCACAACCCACAUCUGGGGAAGGCACGGCCACCUACUCUGGCAUUUAACCACAUUUUUUC
rnacentral:ncRNA from 1 species